rnacentral:rRNA from 1 species
CCUACGGGUCGCACCAGUGGGGAAUAUUGCACAAUGGGCGCAAGCCUGAUGCAGCCAUGCCGCGUGUGUGAAGAAGGCCUUCGGGUUGUAAAGCACUUUCAGCGGGGAGGAAGGGAGUAAAGUUAAUACCUUUGCUCAUUGACGUUACCCGCAGAAGAAGCACCGGCUAACUCCGUGCCAGCAGCCGCGGUAAUACGGAGGGUGCAAGCGUUAAUCGGAAUUACUGGGCGUAAAGCGCACGCAGGCGGUCUGUCAAGUCGGAUGUGAAAUCCCCGGGCUCAACCUGGAAACUGCAUUCGAAACUGGCAGGCUAGAGUCUUGUAGAGGGGGGUAGAAUUCCAGGUGUAGCGGUGAAAUGCGUAGAGAUCUGGAGGAAUACCGGUGGCGGAGGCGGCCCCCUGGACAAAGACUGACGCUCAGGUGCGAAAGCGUGGGGAGCAAACAGGAUUAGAGACCCUCGUAGUC